GCCAGAUACAUGCGUCAUCCGCCAGACACUCCCCCGAAGCCAGCGAGGAUGGCUGCGCGCGCGUUUGAGCGCUCGCGCGCGGCGACCCGUCUGUCUCCUUCUUUUUUUCUUUUUUAAAUGUAACCUGGUUUAUUGGGCUCUCGGCGUAUUCUUGCGUUCCUUCUGCACUGGGACAAGACACCACUGCACUAUUGGACUACGGCAAGCUGGUACCGUCAGGUGGAGCUUCAUACAGGAACUACUGCCUUACCUGCUGGUGUCACAACGUUGGAUGAACGCACAAAAAGCGCGGAACGAGCUUUUAUAUAGAGCAAAAUAAAUAUUUCCUCAUUGCACAAAA